rnacentral:rRNA from 1 species
AGCGUACACGGUGGAUGCCCUGGCAGUCAGAGGCGAUGAAGGACGUGCUAAUCUGCGAUAAGCGUCGGUAAGGUGAUAUGAACCGUUAUAACCGGCGAUUUCCGAAUGGGGAAACCCAGUGUGAUUCGUCACACUAUCAUUAACUGAAUCCAUAGGUUAAUGAGGCGAACCGGGGGAACUGAAACAUCUAAGUACCCCGAGGAAAAGAAAUCAACCGAGAUUCCCCCAGUAGCGGCGAGCGAACGGGGAGGAGCCCAGAGCCUGAAUCAGUGUGUGUGUUAGUGGAAGCGUCUGGAAAGGCGCGCGAUACAGGGUGACAGCCCCGUACACAAAAAUGCACAUGCUGUGAGCUCGAUGAGUAGGGCGGGACACGUGGUAUCCUGUCUGAAUAUGGGGGGACCAUCCUCCAAGGCUAAAUACUCCUGACUGACCGAUAGUGAACCAGUACCGUGAGGGAAAGGCGAAAAGAACCCCGGCGAGGGGAGUGAAAAAGAACCUGAAACCGUGUACGUACAAGCAGUGGGAGCACGCUUAGGCGUGUGACUGCGUACCUUUUGUAUAAUGGGUCAGCGACUUAUAUUCUGUAGCAAGGUUAACCGAAUAGGGGAGCCGAAGGGAAACCGAGUCUUAACUGGGCGUUAAGUUGCAGGGUAUAGACCCGAAACCCGGUGAUCUAGCCAUGGGCAGGUUGAAGGUUGGGUAACACUAACUGGAGGACCGAACCGACUAAUGUUGAAAAAUUAGCGGAUGACUUGUGGCUGGGGGUGAAAGGCCAAUCAAACCGGGAGAUAGCUGGUUCUCCCCGAAAGCUAUUUAGGUAGCGCCUCGUGAAUUCAUCUCCGGGGGUAGAGCACUGUUUCGGCAAGGGGGUCAUCCCGACUUACCAACCCGAUGCAAACUGCGAAUACCGGAGAAUGUUAUCACGGGAGACACACGGCGGGUGCUAACGUCCGUCGUGAAGAGGGAAACAACCCAGACCGCCAGCUAAGGUCCCAAAGUCAUGGUUAAGUGGGAAACGAUGUGGGAAGGCCCAGACAGCCAGGAUGUUGGCUUAGAAGCAGCCAUCAUUUAAAGAAAGCGUAAUAGCUCACUGGUCGAGUCGGCCUGCGCGGAAGAUGUAACGGGGCUAAACCAUGCACCGAAGCUGCGGCAGCGACGCUUAUGCGUUGUUGGGUAGGGGAGCGUUCUGUAAGCCUGCGAAGGUGUGCUGUGAGGCAUGCUGGAGGUAUCAGAAGUGCGAAUGCUGACAUAAGUAACGAUAAAGCGGGUGAAAAGCCCGCUCGCCGGAAGACCAAGGGUUCCUGUCCAACGUUAAUCGGGGCAGGGUGAGUCGACCCCUAAGGCGAGGCCGAAAGGCGUAGUCGAUGGGAAACAGGUUAAUAUUCCUGUACUUGGUGUUACUGCGAAGGGGGGACGGAGAAGGCUAUGUUGGCCGGGCGACGGUUGUCCCGGUUUAAGCGUGUAGGCUGGUUUUCCAGGCAAAUCCGGAAAAUCAAGGCUGAGGCGUGAUGACGAGGCACUACGGUGCUGAAGCAACAAAUGCCCUGCUUCCAGGAAAAGCCUCUAAGCAUCAGGUAACAUCAAAUCGUACCCCAAACCGACACAGGUGGUCAGGUAGAGAAUACCAAGGCGCUUGAGAGAACUCGGGUGAAGGAACUAGGCAAAAUGGUGCCGUAACUUCGGGAGAAGGCACGCUGAUAUGUAGGUGAAGUCCCUCGCGGAUGGAGCUGAAAUCAGUCGAAGAUACCAGCUGGCUGCAACUGUUUAUUAAAAACACAGCACUGUGCAAACACGAAAGUGGACGUAUACGGUGUGACGCCUGCCCGGUGCCGGAAGGUUAAUUGAUGGGGUCAGCGCAAGCGAAGCUCUUGAUCGAAGCCCCGGUAAACGGCGGCCGUAACUAUAACGGUCCUAAGGUAGCGAAAUUCCUUGUCGGGUAAGUUCCGACCUGCACGAAUGGCGUAAUGAUGGCCAGGCUGUCUCCACCCGAGACUCAGUGAAAUUGAACUCGCUGUGAAGAUGCAGUGUACCCGCGGCAAGACGGAAAGACCCCGUGAACCUUUACUAUAGCUUGACACUGAACAUUGAGCCUUGAUGUGUAGGAUAGGUGGGAGGCUUUGAAGUGUGGACGCCAGUCUGCAUGGAGCCGACCUUGAAAUACCACCCUUUAAU